AGGAGGAGAUGGAGAAGGAAAAGGAGGAAGAGAAGGAGGAGGGGGAGAAGGAGAAGGAGGAGGAGAAAGAGGAGAAGGAGGAGGAGAAUGAAGGAGUGAAUGAAUGAAUGAAUGAAUUAAUGAAUGAGUGCACAGAGGGCUGAAGGAUUUGCACACAGGGUCAAGUCCAUCGGUCAUGUGGACGGAGCCCAGAGGGAAGGAGCUGAUAACACAUCAUUAUAACACAUCAUUAUAACAUACUAAUAACAUGUUUGCCAUCCUCCCCGGCAGCGUCAUGUGACCCAGGUCAUAGGACAAGGACCCCCGUGUGACCCCUCAGGCAGGUUAUCCAGAGGGAUAGCACUUACCAUCAGACCAACCUCCAGGAGGUGACAUCUGAGGAGCUGGGAGGGACUGGCCUGGAAGGACAUUCUUUGAGCUCCACAGCUCAUUCCAGCACAUCGGGUAUUCUUGGAUGAGGAGAGCCUUGGUGAAAAGGAUUUCAUAUCAAUAAAUUUGGUUGAAUUUUUAUGGAAAGGAAGAGCAUUUGGUCUCACUUACAUGACACAGUUGUUUAUUGAUUGCUGCACAGAAUAUGAACUCAAAGGAGGUCAAAAUAGGCUGUGAAUAAACUUUUACAAACAUUCAAGUUGGAGAGGAUACCAAAGUCCAGAUGAAACAAAGCUGAGCCAUCUACUGGUUGGAGCCCUGCCCCACCCAUCUUCCCAUUAUAUAACAUUGAAGGCUGUGCUCACUACAGCACAGUUGGGCAGAAAGGAAGCCCUGCAAAAGGUAGCAUGCAAAGCAGGAGGGAGAGCACAUAGGAGUAAUUUGCUGACAGACAAGCAAAGAUGGAUCUGAUUUCAGCUUUCUCCCUGGAAACCUGGGUCCUCCUGGCAAUCAGUCUCAUGCUCCUCUACUGGUUUGGGACUCGUACACAUGGAGUUUUUAAGAAACAGGGAAUUCCUGGGCCCACACCUCUGGCCUUUUUAGGAACUGUACUGAAUUACUACAAGAGCUGAGGACCGAACCCAGGGCCUUGUGCUUGCUAGACAAGCGCUCUACCACUGAGCUAAAUCCCCAACCCCAGCACCCGACUCUCAAAACACAUUUUCUUAAUUAGUAAUUGAUGAGGUAAGAUCCAAUCCAUUGUAGGUGAUGCAGCCAUUGAUGGUGACCCUAGGUUUCUCAAUAAAGCAACCUGAGCAAGCCAUGAGGAGGAACCCAGUAAGCAACACUCCUCCAUGGCCUCUGCUCAGCUUGUGCUUCUGGGUUCCUUCUCUGUUUGAAUCCCAGCCCUGACUUCUCUUAGUGAUGGACUGUAACCUGGAUGUUGAAGAAGAAUAAAAUUUCCCAUUCUUUUAAGUUGAUUUUUUGGUUAUGAUAUUUUAUAAUAGCAGUAGUAAUCCUAUAUAAGAUACACCCAUUUCUCUCUGUUCCGUGCUUCAUUUACCUCAAGUUUCCUUCCCUCACCAAAUUCUCCUUCUAUAUAUCCAACACAAUUGUGUUUAUGUUUAUAUAAUUAUGUUUAAACUAUAAGAUUCAUAAAUGUGAUGGUACAUGUAAUAGCGUUGUUUCUAAGCCAUAUAUCCCCCUCUGCCUCUUCCUCCUGGGUCACAUACCACUUUGAUUUCUCCCUAUCUGCUUUUAAAUGUAGAGACCCAGAAACCUUACUCUAAACUAAAGAAGUAUGAUUGUGUGUUGAUAGACUCUGCCUUCCAGGCUUUUAUCAUUUAUUUAUAAGUAAAUUUCACAUUUAUGAAGGCAAAACUGAAGCCCCCUCGUAAACAAUAUGCUAACUAAUGUCAUAUAUGUAUUCCUUAAAAACAAUGUGAUAUCAGAUGUAAUUGGUCUUUUCCUGUGGCAGAUACCUAGGACCAUGCAUGGACUAGCUGUUAUUGAUACUGACAAAAAAGUGUGGGAAUGUAUGUUUUUGCUAAACGAUCUGCCAGUGCAGAAUGCUUUGAGUUUAGUUCCCACCAAUGCAAGAGAAAUAAACAAGCAAACAGACAGGCUUGUACUGGGUAAGGAGCACUGUUAAACAGAGUUGAUACUGAGGAAUGGUUGCAGAACCUCAGUUGUGGCACUCCGCUGGUUAUUUUGAAGUAUGACAUUCCAGAUAGCCUCGUCACUAGGUCUAUACAGUGGAUUCCCUUUUUCAGUGGGGUUCUAUUUUUGCCUGAUGUAGGGAACCCCAGAUAUUAAGGAACAUCACAUCCUAAGUGAAGAUUACAGGCCUGACUCUUUCCUGAUAAGAACCCCGCUCAGCAAGCACCUAGGGAAUCCUGUAAAUACACCACCCAAUGCUAAGAAUAUGUUAGCUUUCAGAAAAUGCCUUUCAACUAUACCUGGAGAUAUUCCCCCACCACAGAAUAAUUAAUUUAUAUAUUCUCUAUGUCAUAGGACUGGGAUAUUGCAUGCAAAUGACGUACUGCACCACAACAUAUAGAUCAACUAUCCUGAGCAUCUAGCCCCAGGAAACCAAACACAUUCAUCCUCUAAGCCCAAGGUUUAUAAAUCCCUGAUUUCACAGGAAAUUAACAUUGUGAUACCAUCAGCUUUCCACCACAGCCAACUAAAAUUGGUCAGUCUUUUAUUCUGGAGGAGAGAGGGUUUCCCCUCCUCCCUUGAGAUUUGCCACUGAGCUCCCAGAACUUGGCUACUUGCUAACCUAAUGAAAGGUUAGAGUUAAUUCUUGGGGCUGGGGCAGAAUCAGAAGACCACAUUUCUUUCAGAGCAGAGGGCUAGCCCAGAGGCUAGGGCCGAGUCCCACAUUCCUUUCAGAUAAUGGGCCAGCAGCAGCCCCCAGCCAGAUAAACCUCAGGGUAUGACUGGAGUCACAUGGCCCCAAAGAACUAGAGGUCAGAUGUCUCCCAGGCAGCUAGGCCAGACCAUUAGCAGUCUUGGCGCCUAAAAAUAGACCAGUCAUUUUAAAUGUCAGCUUCCAUAGAGACCACCCCAUUUGCAUUUUGUUCCUCUUACCCAAUCCUGUAAUUCCAAGGCUUGUACUACCCCACUGGCAUUUUUGUUUCUUUAAAAACCUUGAUCUCCUGGAGCUGGGGGGUCACUUACCCAAAUGUCUUUGUAAAGGUCAGCCACCUGGGCUUGAGCUUGUAAUAAAAAGACCCUCAUGUGUUUUGCAACAGUGUCGAUUCCUGUAGAUCUUUUGGGGGCUCCCGAACUGGGUGUAACACGGGCUGGAUACUGCUGGACUUCUAAAAACCAUGUUGACCUCAAGCAGUGCACCCACUGGGCCUAGACCAGCUUUUCAGCCCAACAGGCCUACAUUUCACUGGAUCUACCUCCUGCCAUGCUGGGUCUGAGCCUGGGAAACCCUGUAAAUUGGCCACAAUCCCAUACCAGCUUAGCCAAAGAGAUAGAAUACUUCCAUAUCACCACAGGCACUGACUGCUGUGUGAUAGUGAAAGCCUCAUUUUAAAAGCUAAUUGUAGUACCUGGUGUGAACCUCAUUUCUACUUCCCAUAGUCAGAACAGAUGCCUUGAACUAGUCAACUCCCUUGAGCACUCGAAUUUAUUCUAGAGAGAAUUUGGUACCUGUGUUCUCAGGGACGUGCUGUUCUUUGUCCAGAAGUGAACAACUGUAUCCCAGACUACCACCAGAUAAAAAAGAUCACUCAGUGCUUUAGGAGAACAUAAAAAUAUUACAAAAGAAAUUAAGAGAUUCAUAAAAUAUUAGUUUAUGUGGUCUUUUGUGCUGCAUAAACCUCUCAAAUUUUUUAAUCAACUAAAUUAGUUUUGUUUGUGUUUAGCCAUGUUUUCCUGGAACUUACUCUGUAGACAAAAAUAUCCCCAAACUCAGGGAAUCCUCGACCUCUGCCUCCAGAGUGCUGGGAUUAAAGUCUUGAGAAAAUGCCAUCGUCAUGAUAAUUCUGAUUAAUUUUUAGGUAACAAUAUGACUGUAUUAAUUGUAUUCAACUGUUAUUAAUAUUUAAAUUAUUUUUUAAAUUAAGUGUUUGUACAAAUGGAGGAAGACACCAUAUACUUGUCCUAUAUACUUACAAAUUUAUAUCUGCAUAUGUGUAUGGGUGCACAGAAACACACACAUGCUGAUAUAUCAAUAUCAAUAUAUAUAUAAUAUAUAUAUAAUAUAUAUAUAUAUUGUGUGCAUGUUAACAGUGCAUUUCUGUAUGACUGCGAAGUUUCAUUAAUGAAAUAGUAUUUUUAAAAAUAGGUUUUUAAGGAUUUUGAUACACAUGCUUAUAAUAUCAACAUUUGAGAGAGGAGGAGAAUAAGGAGCUCAAGAAAAUCUUCAGCUUUGUACCAAGUUACAUGCUCAUCUGCUUCUAGUAAAAGAGAAAGCAUUUAUAACUUGAUUUUUAAACAUUUAUUUUUAGGUUUAUUUUACUUUUAGCUAAGUAUGUUUGUUUGGGUCUUUGUGGAAGUAUGUGCACAUGAAUGCAGGGAACCCUGGAGGCCUGAAGAGACUUUCAGACUGUCUGAAAGUGAAGUCAAAGGAGAUUGUGAUUUCACUGUAUUGUUCACAGUAGGAUAUGAACUUUGGAACUCUAGAGAAAUGGCUGAUUAAGAGACUUGUUGCUCUUGAGGACCUGAGUUUGAAUGUGAAAAGCUUAAGAGCUCUGCCAACAAAAGAUCUUCAUUUUUUUCAAUUACAUGCUAAUUUCAGGAUGAAUAUCUUUUAUCUGGUUGGAAGUACCUUUCUGUUUCAGGUUGCAGCGCUCAAAGUCUGGAUAGCCUUUCUGAGCUAGGCAUUAAGGUGCAGGACUCCCUCUCUCCACCAGAGCCUCCUGAUCUCUGACUUCAUCUGGUUAGUGUCUUUAGACAUAGAUGCCUCCAAGCACAUUUGAUAGAUGGUCUUUGACACAGAUCCAAGCUAACUCUUCCCUCCCUUCACCUAUAGGAUAAUUAGGUACUUUGUUUAUGUGUGUACAAUAAGGAUGUGCUGUUUAAUGCAAAUCAAGAAUCCUUGAGGCCUGCUCUUUAAUUACCUCCCCCUGAGGGGGAAGCAGCCUUACCAGGCCACAAGAGAAAAUAAUGCAGCCACUCCUGAUGAGACUUAAUUGACUAGGAUCAGAAGGAAGGAAAAGACCUCCCCUAUCAAUGGACUUGGGGAGAGGCAUGCAUGCAGAGGGCAGAGAAAGGGAAGGAUUAGGAUGAGAGGAGGGCGGGAACCACAGGGGGGAUACAAAGUGAAUAAAGUGUAAUCAAUAAAGAAUAAAAAAGAAUCCUUGAAAUGCCUAGUUUUAAACAUUUAUAUACACCAAUCCUUGGAGCACUCCACUCACUCCCCAAGGGGUAUAUAACCUUUGUUUUCUGGAAUUAAAGUUAAAAUUGCUCUCUGCCUUGGUUCCCAGAUUGUCUGAAUCUGUCAUGCUUGCUGGUUUUCUAAGCAUGGCACCUCAUCUUCUGCCCCUUCUGCUUUCCUGGGUUGGAGGGAAACAGCCCCCAAGGCAGGAGGAAAACCAACUUAUCUAUGAAAUGCUUGGGAUCAAAAGUUUCAGACAUGAUAGCCUUUCAUAUUUCAGAUGUUUCUUGCCCAGUCAACCAGUGCCUUGGGGGUGGGACUCUAUAAAAUGGGUUACACCUAAUGUUUAUUUCACAGUAAGGUUGCAGGUAAGCUUCAGUGUAAGGAAUCUUCUGAGCCAAUCUCAGUGGCCUAUGGAGAAGAAAUAAGAGCAGAAAAUUGAGGCCAGCCUGGAUAACGGCCUGUCUUCAUGGAAGAAAUAGAAAAUAUAAAGAAAGAAAAGAAAAAAAAAUCUUCUUCUUUGCUACCCUUCUUCCUUGUGGGUUCUUUUGAUAGUCAUUACUCAGUGGAGACCAUGUUGCUCUCUACAGUUUAUAUUUCUAUAGAUGUAGGUUUUAAAUCUGGCAGAAAUGUGAGAGGUGCCUAUAUUAAAACCGACCUACUUGCCAAUUUUCUCCCAGAAAUCUGUUGGUCCUUCCAAAGCUUAAUAUGGUUCUCUUGGCUGGCAUAUCCCACUCCCUACCUUGAAUUUUCCUGCCUAGAAUCUGGGCUAACCUCCCUUCCCCAUAUCAACUUAUAGAUUGUUUAGUGAGGUCAGGUAAGAUGUUUUUGCUAAUGGGUCUUACGUAAAAAAUCUUACAGAUCCAUGUGAAAUUAAGAAAAGUACCCUCUUAAUAGUAAAGCCAGGGACACUUUAAGAUUGGUGAGAAGAAACAAAAGCCAAAGUUAACACUUGCUGACUGGACACUGUCCAGCUGGGCCUGUAGCUGAGACAGGGAUUGAUUUAUUCAUACUUGUUUUUGCCCUCAGGUUCUUGAUAUGAUUUAAUAAAAGUUAUUAAGGUACAUACCCCUUCAAGAUUUAAUGUAGAGGUGGCUGAUUGUUUUAUACAUAUAAAACUUUAGAUUCAUGAUCCUUUUAAGACUUUUAUGUGAUUACUUUUUAAUAUAAUUGCUCUUUUAAUUACCCCAAGUUUCUGCUUGCCAGUAAAGACAAGAUGGCUGAGUAGUUAUGUUGCUUGCUCAUCUUGUUAAUUGAUCACAAGUUGGUUAAUUGCAAGUGUAUAUGGGGUCUUGGAAUAACUUGUUCUUCACCCAUAAUAUGUAUAACAUUUGAUCAUGUGAAGGUAUUGGGGAAUAUGUGGGUUGUUUGUGUGUAUGUGUGUGUGUGUGUGUGUGUGUGUAUGUUCAUUGUAAUUCUUCACUUAAAGAAAAAUAGAGUGUAACCACAUUGUGUGUUUAAUAUUGCUAUAAGGAUCUUACUGGGAUAGAUAAGGUGUGGAAAAAGAGUAAAAGUGUAGUCUGAACUGGCACUCUAGGUCUUGUUCCAUCCACCAAGGUCUAUAUAUGUAGGUGGUUUGGACCUCACUCUUUGGAGUUUGUUUCAUCUGAGAAGUUGUAUGUAUAUGUAUGUAUGUAAGGUUGGGAUGGAACUUGCUCUUUUGUGCUUUUUCCAUCAAUCAUGAUGUAUGUAUAUGUAGGUAAGGUGGUUUGGCUCAUGUUCUUUGGAGUUUGCUCCAUCCACCAUUUUGUAUGUAUGUAAGGUGGUUUGGAACUUACUUUUUGGAGUUACUUCCAUCCACCAAGUUGCAUAUAUUAGGAUGAAUUAAAAUUCACUCUCCGGAGUUUGCUCUGUCUACCCAGUAUGUGAAUGUGUAUAUAUGUAUGUACAUAUGUAUGUGUGUAUGUGAUUGUAUAAAGUAAAAAAAAGACUGUAAGAGAAGCUAAAUGAAGAGAAGCUUAAAUAAAGAGAAGAAGCUUUUUGGAAUCUA